CCCACCAUUUCUUCUAGAUGAACUAAGCUAUCAUUAUAUCAUAUCGUACAAAUUUUUCUAAUAAACCAAUAAUGAUGCUCUUUAAAUAGUGGGAAAGGAAGACUUAAAAAACCCCAAUUGGGUUUUAGAGGUUGACUUGUGUUUAUUAGUAGCUUCUUCAGCUAAGCUCAAUUGAAGUUUGUGUCUCAAUAAAACUUGAUGUGAAGAAGAAGAAGAGAUUAAUGGGUCUUUUGAAGCCUUCUUUGCUCUUUGUUUUGGUUCUUUUUGUUGUUCUUGCUUCAGAGAAAUCAUUGGCUGUUCAAGCUAGGUUUCUUUCCACUACUCAACAAAGAUAUGCGAAUGUUUUUGCAACUUUGGGACUUGUUUGCAAGUGUUGUGAUGGCCCUAAGGGAGAAUGCACAAGUAGCUGGACCAACUCUUGCUCCAAAGUCCAAUGCCUUCCUUGGAAACAAAAUUAUCAAUGAAAAUGUUCUCCUUUUGUUUUUGUGAUGCUGUACAUGUAUAUAUAAUAUCUAUACGAUAAUAUAUAUAAGUACCAGUAUAUUUACUGGUCAAUUAAAGAUUAUUAUUACAUAGAAACUAGUAGCUCUUUUUGUGUAUAUUGGUAUAAUUACAAGUUACAAGAGCUAUUGGUUUAUGUGGAGCUUUUUGGGGAAAUGAAGUAAUAUAUAGGUGGGUGUUUAUAUCUA